rnacentral:rRNA from 1 species
AGAGUUUGAUCCUGGCUCAGAACGAACGCUGGCGGCGCGUCUUAAGCAUGCAAGUCGAACGGCAAGGCAGGUGCUUGCACCUGCCCUAGAGUGGCGGACUGGUGAGUAACACGUGGGUGACAUGCCUUUUAGUUGGGGAUAGCUACUAGAAAUAGUAGAUAAUACCGAAUGUGAUCAAUAUUUAUAGAUGAUGUUGAGGAAAGGAGCUAAGGCUUCGCUAAAAGAUUGGCCCGCGGCCCAUUAGCUAGUUGGUAGGGUAAAGGCUUACCAAGGCGAUGAUGGGUAUCCGGCCUGAGAGGGUGAUCGGACACAUUGGGACUGAGAUACGGCCCAGACUCCUACGGGAGGCAGCAGCUAAGAAUAUUCCACAAUGGACGAAAGUCUGAUGGAGCGACGCCGCGUGGAUGAUGAAGGCCGAAAGGUUGUAAAAUCCUUUUACACUGGAGGAAUAAGCAGAGUAGGGAAUGACUCUGUGAUGACUGUACAGUUUGAAUAAGCAACGGCUAAUUACGUGCCAGCAGCCGCGGUAACACGUAAGUUGCGAGCGUUGUUCGGAAUUAUUGGGCGUAAAGGGCAUGUAGGCGGAUUUGCAAGCUUGAUGUGAAAUCCCGCAGCUUAACUGCGGAACUGCAUUGAGAACUGCAAGACUAGAGUUACUGAGGGGAAACUAGAAUUCCAAGUGUAGGGGUGAAAUCUGUAGAUAUUUGGAAGAAUACCAAUGGCGAAGGCAAGUUUCUGGCAGAUAACUGACGCUGAGGUGCGAAGGUGCGGGGAGCAAACAGGAUUAGAUACCCUGGUAGUCCGCACAGUAAACGAUGUACACUAGGUGUUUGACCAUGAGGUUGAGUGCCAAAGCUAACGUGAUAAGUGUACCGCCUGGGAAGUAUGCCCGCAAGGGUGA